rnacentral:rRNA from 1 species
AGCGAACGCUGGCGGCAUGCUUAACACAUGCAAGUCGCACGAGAGCUUCGGCUCUAGUGGCGGACGGGUGAGUAACGCGUAGGAAUCUAUCCAUGGGUGGGGGAUAACAUCGGGAAACUGGUGCUAAUACCGCAUGAUACCUGAGGGUCAAAGGCGCAAGUCGCCUGUGGAGGAGCCUGCGUUCGAUUAGCUAGUUGGUGGGGUAAAGGCCUACCAAGGCGAUGAUCGAUAGCUGGUUUGAGAGGAUGAUCAGCCACACUGGGACUGAGACACGGCCCAG